UACGGGGGGGAGCAAGCGUUGUUCGGAUUUACUGGGCGUAAAGGGCGCGUAGGCGGCCACCGCAAGUCGACUGUGAAAUCUCCGGGCUUAACCCGGAAAGGUCAACUGAUACUGUGCGACUAGAGUGCGGAAGGGGCAACUGGAAUUCUCGGUGUAGCGGUGAAAUGCGUAGAUAUCGAGAGGAACACCUGCGGCGAAGGCGGGUUGCUGGGCCGACACUGACGCUGAGGCGCGAAAGCCAGGGGAGCGAACGGG
rnacentral:rRNA from 1 species